GGUUAACCGAAUAGGGGAGCCGAAGGGAAACCGAGUCUUAACUGGGCGUUAAGUUGCAGGGUAUAGACCCGAAACCCGGUGAUCUAGCCAUGGGCAGGUUGAAGGUUGGGUAACACUAACUGGAGGACCGAACCGACUAAUGUUGAAAAAUUAGCGGAUGACUUGUGGCUGGGGGUGAAAGGCCAAUCAAACCGGGAGAUAGCUGGUUCUCCCCGAAAGCUAUUUAGGUAGCGCCUCGUGAAUUCAUCUCCGGGGGUAGAGCACUGUUUCGGCAAGGGGGUCAUCCCGACUUACCAACCCGAUGCAAACUGCGAAUACCGGAGAAUGUUAUCACGGGAGACACACGGCGGGUGCUAACGUCCGUCGUGAAGAGGGAAACAACCCAGACCGCCAGCUAAGGUCCCAAAGUCAUGGUUAAGUGGGAAACGAUGUGGGAAGGCCCAGACAGCCAGGAUGUUGGCUUAGAAGCAGCCAUCAUUUAAAGAAAGCGUAAUAGCUCACUGGUCGAGUCGGCCUGCGCGGAAGAUGUAACGGGGCUAAACCAUGCACCGAAGCUGCGGCAGCGACGCU
rnacentral:rRNA from 1 species